rnacentral:rRNA from 1 species
AUGUACUAUCUAUUCUCGGUGUUGAACAAUGUUUUGGUAUAUGUUCAUCUACUAAUUACCAAAUUGUUUCCUUUCUCAGUGUUCUCCAGUGAUGGAAGGGGUUCUAAUGUUUUUCCAGUCAGGAUGAAAAUAAACUUCCAAAAAUAUGAACCAGCGGUGACACCUCUCCACGUAUACAUGUCCAAAAAUAUAUUUUAUGGAAAAUUGGAGAUCCGGUUGAAUCUGACCAACUCGAUGGCAAGCUCCUCUGCCCUCCCAGAGCCCGGUGAUGAUUUGUACGGUCAGUCCUCCCCGCACGAUGGUGGGCGAAGGAGGUGCACGUCUCCGACGAGUUUGUCGUGCCUCCCUCUGGUUCCGUGA